UUAAACAAAAGUCCUUUUAAUCCUAUUCUGUAUUAGAGCCCAAGGUGAGGGAUUUGAUUUUGUGGUUCAUACAAUUGGAGAACGCGGUGUCGCGGAGACAGUAACUGCUAUUGAAAAUGCUAAAGUCUCCAAUUUGAGCCGGCAUAGGUUGACCCACCUGGAGAUAGUAAAUGAUGCAGAUAUGACACGAAUGGCAAAUU